UAGAUUCCCAAGUAUCAGAAGAGUAAGGUGUUUCUAAGGCUCUUUAUACAUGGGUACAGAUAAGAUAAAGAGAAGUUUCCAAGUCAAAACAAAUAUUCUUCCCUCAGCCCUCUGGAUGUUCAUGUUCAGACUUCUGGGUGAGGGGAGCCCUUCUUAAGAAACUAACAUCAGUCUGACGGCAGCUGCGCGAGAUGGGGAGGAACAACCGUUGAAAUCAGACCUGAGGAACGGCAUGUGAGAUGCACUUGCUCUCAGCCACCGACGUCAGAACAGCUCAGAGCCAGGUAGCCCUCACUUUGCCGGAGAUGAAUUCUGGAGAAUGUUCCUCUGUAACAGCUCGCUCCAAGGCACGCCUGAAGCCAGGAAGUAAAAACAAAAAUCCUCAGAUGCCAUUCAAGAGAGGCUCCUGGACCAGGAGGUCCCCACGGGACAUGAUGAAUACAGAAUUUUCAAAGCCAGGAGAUGGUGGUGUUUAUGCUUCACUCAAAUGCAAAACAUCUGUCUGUCACAUUCUUUCAAGAGAAGCUGUUGAACUUCCUACAAGAUAUAAUCAAUUAAAGAAAAAAAAUUAAGAUUCUAAAUCGGGGUGCUACUGAGGUCAAACUCACAAGCACUUUUACAAAAGUGUCACCUCUGCUUGGCAACAACUGCCAAUGUUCUAGUGAAUCCAAGAAAUCUUUAGAAUAUGAGUGAAGA